rnacentral:rRNA from 1 species
AUUGAACGCUGGCGGAAUGCUUUACACAUGCAAGUCGAACGGCAGCACGGACUUCGGUCUGGUGGCGAGUGGCGAACGGGUGAGUAAUGUAUCGGAACGUGCCCAGUCGUGGGGGAUAACGUAGUGAAAAUUACGCUAAUACCGCAUACGAUCUAUGGAUGAAAGCGGGGGAUCGCAAGACCUCGCGCGAUUGGAGCGGCCGAUAUCAGAUUAGGUAGUUGGUGGGGGAAAGGCCCACCAAGCAAACGAUCUGUAGCUGGUCUGAGAGGACGACCAGCCAAACUGGAACUGAGACACGGUACAGACUCCUACGGGAGGCAGCAGUGGGGAAUUUUGGGCAAUGGGCGAAAGCCUGAUCCAGCCAUUCCGCGUGCAGGAUGAAGGCCCUCGGGUUGUAAACUGCUUUUGUACAGAACGAAAAGGUUUCUACUAAUACUAGGAGCUCAUGACGGUACUGUAAGAAUAAGCACCGGCUAACUACGUGCCAGCAGCCGCCGUAA